rnacentral:rRNA from 1 species
UGGGGAAUUUUGGACAAUGGGCGAAAGCCUGAUCCAGCAAUGCCGCGUGUGUGAAGAAGGCCUUCGGGUUGUAAAGCACUUUUGUCCGGAAAGAAAUCCUUGGCUCUAAUACAGUCGGGGGAUGACGGUACCGGAAGAAUAAGCACCGGCUAACUACGUGCCAGCAGCCGCGGUAAUACGUAGGGUGCAAGCGUUAAUCGGAAUUACUGGGCGUAAAGCGUGCGCAGGCGGUUUGCUAAGACCGAUGUGAAAUCCCCGGGCUCAACCUGGGAACUGCAUUGGUGACUGGCAGGCUAGAGUAUGGCAGAGGGGGGUAGAAUUCUACGUGUAGCAGUGAAAUGCGUAGAGAUGUGGAGGAAUACCGAUGGCGAAGGCAGCCCCCUGGGGCCAAUACUGACGCUCAUGCACGAAAGCGUGGGGAGCAAACAGGAUUAGAUACCCUGGUAGUCCACGCCCUAAACGAUGUCAACUAGUUGUUGGGGAUUCAUUCCUUAGUAACGUAGCUAACGCGUGAAGUUGACCGCCUGGGGAGUACGGUCGC